UGGCGGACGGGUGAGUAACACGUGGGUAACCUGCCCUUUAGCGGGGGAUAACACUUGGAAACAGGUGCUAAUACCGCAUAAUCUUUUUUCUCGCAUGAGAGAAAAGUGAAAGACGCUUUUGCGUCACUAAAGGAUGGACCCGCGCUGCAUUAGCUAGUUGGUGAGAUAAUGGCUCACCAAGGCCGCGAUGCAUAGCCGACCUGAGAGGGUGAUCGGCCACACUGGGACUGAGACACGGCCCAGACUCCUACGGGAGGCAGCAGUAGGGAAUCUUCGGCAAUGGACGGAAGUCUGACCGAGCAACGCCGCGUGAGUGAAGAAGGUUUUCGGAUCGUAAAACUCUGUUGUUAGAGAAGAACAAGGAUGAGAGUAAAAUGUUCAUCCCUUGACGGUAUCUAACCAGAAAGCCACGGCUAACUACGUGCCAGCAGCCGCGGUAAUACGUAGGUGGCAAGCGUUGUCCGGAUUUAUUGGGCGUA
rnacentral:rRNA from 1 species